rnacentral:rRNA from 1 species
GACGAACGCUGGCGGCGUGCUUAACACAUGCAAGUCGAACGGAAAGGCCCUGCUUUUGUGGGUGCUCGAGUGGCGAACGGGUGAGUAACACGCGAGUAACCUGCCCUUGACUUUGGGAUAACUUCAGGAAACUGGGGCUAAUACCGGAUAGGAGCUCCUGCUGCAUGGUGGGGGUUGGAAAGUUUCGGCGGUUGGGGAUGGACUCGCGGCUUAUCAGCUUGUUGGUGGGGUAGUGGCUUACCAAGGCUUUGACGGGUAGCCGGCCUGAGAGGGUGACCGGCCACAUUGGGACUGAGAUACGGCCCAGACUCCUACGGGAGGCAGCAGUGGGGAAUAUUGCACAAUGGGCGGAAGCCUGAUGCAGCAACGCCGCGUGCGGGAUGACGGCCUUCGGGUUGUAAACCGCUUUCGCCUGUGACGAAGCGUGAGUGACGGUAAUGGGUAAAGAAGCACCGGCUAACUACGUG